rnacentral:piRNA from 1 species
UACCGUUUGUCCUGGCCAUUUAUAUU